rnacentral:lncRNA from 1 species
UUCAAUUGUGUGAUGUUAUUAUGCUUUUGUAUCAGGCAAAUACAAUUAAAUCUAUGACUAUCAAUAACAGGAUUGUGAUUGUUAGGGUUUUCACACAAUUGGGUUUAUAAUUGCAUCACCUAGGACUAGAAACUUUUGUAAAUCAUCAUAAACCUUGAUAUUGAGUAAGAAUUGGUAGUUUAAUAGUUUCUUCAUUAAGGACUUAAGGAAGAACAUUCUGAGGUUAGGUAAUUGAAUGUUUAUUGUGUAUUGAGAAAAUCUUGACUUGAAUUCAUAAC